rnacentral:piRNA from 2 species
GUUAACCGAAAGGUUGGUGGUUCGAGCCCA